GCGAGCAUGGCGGCGGGAGUCGUGGGCGUAGAGAUCGGCGAGAGGGGCCGUGCGUCCAGGGCCGAAUUUGUGGCGGACGGGGAACACGCCUGUGGCGGCGGCAAGGGAGAGGAGGAGGAGGAGGACGGCGAGGGGGAAGAAGGGAGAGGGAUGCAUGACUGCAAUGGCUUCGGAGUGGGGGAAUACUUGUUGUUAAUUUGGGCAUUUUAUAAUGAG
rnacentral:misc_RNA from 1 species